rnacentral:rRNA from 1 species
CAGUCGCCGCGGUAAUACGUAGGGUGCAAGCGUUAAUCGGAAUUACUGGGCGUAAAGCGUGCGCAGGCGGUUUGUUAAGACAGAUGUGAAACCCCCGGGCUCAACCUGGGAACUGCAUUUGUGACUGGCAAGCUAGAGUAUGGCAGAGGGGGGUGGAAUUCCGCGUGUAGCAGUGAAAUGCGUAGAUAUGCGGAGGAACACCGAUGGCGAAGGCAGCCCCCUGGGCCAAUACUGACGCUCAUGCACGAAAGCGUGGGGAGCAAACAGGAUUAGAUACCCCAGUAGUCCCUGUCUCUUAUAA